GACGAACGCUGGCGGCGUGCUUAACACAUGCAAGUCGAACGGAAGGGCCCUGCUUUUGUGGGGUGCUCGAGUGGCGAACGGGUGAGUAACACGUGAGUAACCUGCCCUUGACUUUGGGAUAACUUCAGGAAACUGGGGCUAAUACCGGAUAGGAGCUCCUGCUGCAUGGUGGGGGUUGGAAAGUUUCGGCGGUUGGGGAUGGACUCGCGGCUUAUCAGCUUGUUGGUGGGGUAGUGGCUUACCAAGGCUUUGACGGGUAGCCGGCCUGAGAGGGUGACCGGCCACAUUGGGACUGAGAUACGGCCCAGACUCCUACGGGAGGCAGCAGUGGGGAAUAUUGCACAAUGGGCGGAAGCCUGAUGCAGCAACGCCGCGUGCGGGAUGACGGCCUUCGUGUUGUAACCCGCUUUCGCCUGUGACGAAGCGUGAGUGACGGUAAUGGGUAAAGAAGCACCGGCUAACUACGUG
rnacentral:rRNA from 1 species